AGCUUACAUAACAUUCUGACAGCCCUGCAUACUGAGUUAAGUAAAAUAUCCUUGGCACAAAUAUACAUAACUCUAAAUCUAUUGGAACAAAAGUUAAAACCAGUGUGGUUCUAAGAACUACAUUAGUAGAUAUGAAUUCAGAAACUUAUGGCCUCAAGAAACAGCAUAAGGGACUUACAGAGCACUUGGAAAGUAGAAAGAAGAAGGACUUUUGAAAAAACACAAGAGGUCUGACUAUAGAGUCAUGGCAAUAUUUACCUAAAGGCUCCAUUUGAUGGACACAGAGUCUGAAUAAAGGAAGAUUGGCUUCUACUAACACCGAUCAUCCACACCAUGCUGAGGGCCAGAUGAAAUUGUUUGGGAGGAACUGAAACAAAAUCUACACAGUUGCUCAUAAGUUCCAUACUAGAGAUCAAUUUAAUCAACUCACUUAAAUGUGAGCAAAUAAAACACUGCAUUUUAUCCUGAUUUUUAAAAAUCAUUAUUAUUGUUACGUACAAUAGAAAUCAGUUACUUAGGAUUUUCUUAAGAAUUUUUAUCUGUCAUUACAAAUGAAGAAGUCCUGUAAUUUCCUUGCUUUGUAUUUUCUGAGUACACUUUGUUAAUUAAAGUAACAACGGGUUAGAAAAGCGAUUUGGGUAAUUUUUGCUCUUUUAUAAUUUGUUGUGACAACUUGUAGAAGAUAAUUACAUAUGCUUAAAACAUUUAGGAAAACUGACCUGUGAAGCUAUGGGCAUCUUUUUAAUAAGUUAAGUAGUCUUUGACUACCACUUUAAUUAUUAUUUAUUAAUCUAUUUAGUGGUUUUUAUUCUUUUUGCAACAAGUUAGUGUUUUUAUUUAUUAGAUACUUUUUAAUAUUUAAUGGUAUAUUAAUAUUGUAUAUCCAUGUUGACAUCAUACUUAUAUAAAAUGCAUCCAGUUCAAGUGUACAGUUUAACUUGUAAAAAACCAAAUAUAUCAUCUGUAUAAUCGCCCCUACCAUCAAGAUUCCCUGAAACCAAAACAAUACUGUAUCAUAUUUAAAAUGAAAUAUAUGAAAUAUAUAAUCAAUACCUGUUUUGAAAUUGAUUGCAUUUUGAAAAUAUAUUGAUUAUAUGUGAAAAUAUUUUAGAUACAUUAGGUUAAAUAAAAAUUUAAAGUUGUACAUAUGUCCAAAAUUAUAUUUCUGUUGGACAGUGGUGGUCAAAAUGCCACAUUAACUCUAAUUUUCAAAAGUGUAGUACUAAUAUAAGAAUAUAAUUUUAAAAGAAAUUAUAUCAUCUUGAAUUUUUAAAUAAAUUUAACAUUAUGCCCAGAAUAAGUCAAAAUGUUCCAUUUUUCCUUCUGUUCAUUAACAAAACCUUUAUUUAAAAAUAUUUUAAGACUUCAGACUAUUUUUCUAUCUGUACCUAUUAUUAUUUUGGGUGUGG
ensembl:lncRNA